rnacentral:rRNA from 1 species
UACAUGUGGGGCAAGCGUUGUUCGGAAUUACUGGGCAUAAAGGGCGCGUAGGCGGCCUGAUAAGUAGGGGGUGAAAUCCUGCGGCUUAACCGCAGGGCUGCCUUCUAAACUGUCAGGCUGGAGCACAGUAGAGGCAGGUGGAAUUCCCGGUGUAGCGGUGGAAUGCGUAGAGAUCGGGAAGAACAUCAGUGGCGAAGGCGGCCUGCUGGGCUGUUGCUGACGCUGAGGCGCGACAGCGUGGGGAGCAAACAGG